UUAAGCGACUAAGCGUACACGGUGGAUGCCCUGGCAGUCAGAGGCGAUGAAGGACGUGCUAAUCUGCGAAAAGCGUCGGUAAGGUGAUAUGAACCGUUAUAGCCGGCGAUGUCCGAAUGGGGAAACCCAGUGCAAUUCGUUGCACUAUCGUUUGAUGAAUACAUAGUCAAACGAGGCGAACCGGGGGAACUGAAACAUCUAAGUACCCCGAGGAAAAGAAAUCAACCGAGAUUCCCCAGUAGCGGCGAGCGAACGGGGAGCAGCCCGGAGUCUGAAUCAGCUUGUGUGUUAGUGGAAGCGUCUGGAAAGUCGCAGGGUACAGGGUGAUACUCCCGUACACUAAAACACACAGGCUGUGAACUCGAAGAGUAGGGCGGGACACGUGGUAUCCUGUCUGAAUAUGGGGGGACCAUCCUCCAAGGCUAAAUACUCCUGACUGACCGAUAGUGAACCAGUACCGUGAGGGAAAGGCGAAAAGAACCCCGGCGAGGGGAGUGAAAAAGAACCUGAAACCGUGUACGUACAAGCAGUAGGAGCCUCUUUAUGGGGUGACUGCGUACCUUUUGUAUAAUGGGUCAGCGACUUAUAUUCUGUAGCAAGGUUAACCGUAUAGGGGAGCCGCAGGGAAACCGAGUCUUAACUGGGCGUUAAGUUGCAGGGUAUAGACCCGAAACCCGGUGAUCUAGCCAUGGGCAGGUUGAAGGUUGGGUAACACUAACUGGAGGACCGAACCGACUAAUGUUGAAAAAUUAGCGGAUGACUUGUGGCUGGGGGUGAAAGGCCAAUCAAACCGGGAGAUAGCUGGUUCUCCCCGAAAGCUAUUUAGGUAGCGCCUCGUGAACUCAUCUUCGGGGGUAGAGCACUGUUUCGGCUAGGGGGUCAUCCCGACUUACCAACCCGAUGCAAACUACGAAUACCGAAGAAUGUUAUCACGGGAGACACACGGCGGGUGCUAACGUCCGUCGUGAAGAGGGAAACAACCCAGACCGCCAGCUAAGGUCCCAAAGUCAUGGUUAAGUGGGAAACGAUGUGGGAAGGCCCAGACAGCCAGGAUGUUGGCUUAGAAGCAGCCAUCAUUUAAAGAAAGCGUAAUAGCUCACUGGUCGAGUCGGCCUGCGCGGAAGAUGUAACGGGGCUAAACCAUGCACCGAAGCUGCGGCAGCGACACUAUGUGUUGUUGGGUAGGGGAGCGUUCUGUAAGCCGUUGAAGGUGGCCUGUGAGGGUUGCUGGAGGUAUCAGAAGUGCGAAUGCUGACAUAAGUAACGAUAAUGCGGGUGAAAAACCCGCACGCCGGAAGACCAAGGGUUCCUGUCCAACGUUAAUCGGGGCAGGGUGAGUCGACCCCUAAGGCGAGGCCGAAAGGCGUAGUCGAUGGGAAACAGGUUAAUAUUCCUGUACUCGGUGUUACUGCGAAGGGGGGACGGAGAAGGCUAUGUUGGCCGGGCGACGGUUGUCCCGGUUUAAGCAUGUAGGCGGAUGUUCCAGGUAAAUCCGGAACGUUAUCAACGCUGAGGUGUGAUGACGAGGCACUACGGUGCUGAAGUGACAAAUGCCCUGCUUCCAGGAAAAGCCUCUAAGCAUCAGGUAACAUCAAAUCGUACCCCAAACCGACACAGGUGGUCAGGUAGAGAAUACCAAGGCGCUUGAGAGAACUCGGGUGAAGGAACUAGGCAAAAUGGUGCCGUAACUUCGGGAGAAGGCACGCUGAUAGGUAGGUGAAGUGGUUUACCCAUGGAGCUGAAAUCAGUCGAAGAUACCAGCUGGCUGCAACUGUUUAUUAAAAACACAGCACUGUGCAAACACGAAAGUGGACGUAUACGGUGUGACGCCUGCCCGGUGCCGGAAGGUUAAUUGAUGGGGUUAUCCGUAAGGAGAAGCUCUUGAUCGAAGCCCCGGUAAACGGCGGCCGUAACUAUAACGGUCCUAAGGUAGCGAAAUUCCUUGUCGGGUAAGUUCCGACCUGCACGAAUGGCGUAAUGAUGGCCAGGCUGUCUCCACCCGAGACUCAGUGAAAUUGAACUCGCUGUGAAGAUGCAGUGUACCCGCGGCAAGACGGAAAGACCCCGUGAACCUUUACUAUAGCUUGACACUGAACACUGGUCCUUGAUGUGUAGGAUAGGUGGGAGGCUUUGAAGCGUGGACGCCAGUCUGCGUGGAGCCAUCCUUGAAAUACCACCCUUUAAUGGCUGGUGUUCUAACGUGGGCCCCUAAUCGGGGUUGCGGACAGUGUCUGGUGGGUAGUUUGACUGGGGCGGUCUCCUCCUAAAGAGUAACGGAGGAGCACGAAGGUCAGCUAAUCCUGGUCGGACAUCAGGAGGUUAGUGCAAUGGCAUAAGCUGGCUUGACUGCGAGCGUGACGGCGCGAGCAGGUGCGAAAGCAGGUCAUAGUGAUCCGGUGGUUCUGAAUGGAAGGGCCAUCGCUCAACGGAUAAAAGGUACUCCGGGGAUAACAGGCUGAUACCGCCCAAGAGUUCAUAUCGACGGCGGUGUUUGGCACCUCGAUGUCGGCUCAUCACAUCCUGGGGCUGAAGUAGGUCCCAAGGGUAUGGCUGUUCGCCAUUUAAAGUGGUACGCGAGCUGGGUUUAGAACGUCGUGAGACAGUUCGGUCCCUAUCUGCCGUGGGCGCUGGAGAAUUGAGGGGGGCUGCUCCUAGUACGAGAGGACCGGAGUGGACGCAUCACUGGUGUUCGGGUUGUCAUGCCAAUGGCAUUGCCCGGUAGCUAAAUGCGGAAGAGAUAAGUGCUGAAAGCAUCUAAGCACGAAACUUGCCCCGAGAUGAGUUCUCCCUGACUCCUUGAGAGUCCUGAAGGAACGUUGAAGACGACGACGUUGAUAGGCCGGGUGUGUAAGCGCAGCGAUGCGUUGAGCUAACCGGUACUAAUGAACCGUGAGGCUUAACCUU
rnacentral:rRNA from 2 species